UAACACAUGCAAGCCGAGGGGUAGUCUCUUUCGGGAGAACACGACCGGCGCACGGGUGAGUAACGCGUAUGCAACCUACCUUUGGCACGGGGACAGCCCGGGGAAACCCGGAUUAAUACCCGGUAUGGUCUGUUAUACACCUGUAUAAAAGACGAGAGCUACGGCGGCCAAAGAUGGGCAUGCGUGCCAUUAGUUAGUUGGUAGGGUAACGGCCUACCAAGGCAUCGAUGGCUACGGGGUCUAAAAGGAUGAGCCCGCACACUGGUACUGAGACACGGACCAGACUCCUACGGGAGGCAGCAGUGAGGAAUAUUGGUCAAUGGGUGGAAGCCUGAACCAGCCAUGCCGCGUGCAGGAAGACGGCCUUAUGGGUUGUAAACUGCUUUUCUACGGGACGAACGGCUCUGACGUGUCAGAGAUUGACGGUACCGUAGGAAUAAGCAUCGGCUAACUCCGUGCCAGCAGCCGCGGUAAUACGGAGGAUGCGAGCGUUAUCCGGAUUUAUGAGGUUUACAGGGUGCGUAGGCUGGGCAAUAAGUCAGUGGUGAAAGUCCGCGGCUCAACCGUGGGAUU
rnacentral:rRNA from 1 species